AGCGAACGCUGGCGGCAGGCUUAACACAUGCAAGUCGAACGCCCCGCAAGGGGAGUGGCAGACGGGUGAGUAACACGUGGGAACGUACCCUUUGGUUCGGAAUAACUCAGGGAAACUUGAGCUAAUACCGGAUAAGCCCUUUUGGGGAAAGAUUUAUCGCCGAAGGAUCGGCCCGCGUCCGAUUAGCUAGUUGGUGAGGUAACGGCUCACCAAGGCGACGAUCGGUAGCUGGUCUGAGAGGAUGAUCAGCCACACUGGGACUGAGACACGGCCCAGACCCCUACGGGAGGCAGCAGUGGGGAAUAUUGGACAAUGGGGGCAACCCUGAUCCAGCCAUGCCGCGUGAGUGAUGAAGGCCCUAGGGUUGUAAAGCUCUUUCGGCGGGGACGAUAAUGACGGUACCCGCAGAAGAAGCCCCGGCUAACUUCGUGCCAGCCGCCGCCGUAAGAC
rnacentral:rRNA from 1 species